rnacentral:rRNA from 1 species
GUGAACCUUUACUAUAGCUUGACACUGAACAUUGAGCCUUGAUGUGUAGGAUAGGUGGGAGGCUUUGAAGCGUGGACGCCAGUCUGCGUGGAGCCGACCUUGAAAUACCACCCUUUAAUGUUUGAUGUUCUAACGUGGACCCGUGAUCCGGGUUGCGGACAGUGUCUGGUGGGUAGUUUGACUGGGGCGGUCUCCUCCUAAAGAGUAACGGAGGAGCACGAAGGUUGGCUAAUCCUGGUCGGACAUCAGGAGGUUAGUGCAAUGGCAUAAGCCAGCUUGACUGCGAGCGUGACGGCGCGAGCAGGUGCGAAAGCAGGUCAUAGUGAUCCGGUGGUUCUGAAUGGAAGGGCCAUCGCUCAACGGAUAAAAGGUACUCCGGGGAUAACAGGCUGAUACCGCCCAAGAGUUCAUAUCGACGGCGGUGUUUGGCACCUCGAUGUCGGCUCAUCACAUCCUGGGGCUGAAGUAGGUCCCAAGGGUAUGGCUGUUCGCCAUUUAAAGUGGUACGCGAGCUGGGUUUAGAACGUCGUGAGACAGUUCGGUCCCUAUCUGCCGUGGGCGCUGGAGAACUGAGGGGGGCUGCUCCUAGUACGAGAGGACCGGAGUGGACGCAUCACUGGUGUUCGGGUUGUCAUGCCAAUGGCACUGCCCGGUAGCUAAAUGCGGAAGAGAUAAGUGCUGAAAGCAUCUAAGCACGAAACUUGCCCCGA